rnacentral:sRNA from 1 species
GUAAUAUAGAUCUAGAGUCUAUCUAGACUAGAAUUUGAUCUCAUAUCUACGCAAUUUCCACCCGAAAAAGAAAAUUAUAAAACCCGAUGAUUUGUAUUGACGGACCGCAUAGACCUUGAAUAACCUAUUCUUGAACAAUGUCACAAUGUUAACCGAUGGCCAUCCCUAAGGCUCCAACUCAAUCCGGAGGCAACCGUGCCCUAUUUUGUUUCUGUUUCGACAAUAACACGGAAAGAGCCUCCAAUUACCUCAGGCUGGCCCUGCCCUCCCGGACAUCACAGUGAGAACUUACAGCGUUCUCCCUGAUCCAGACUGGCCAAGAAGGGCGCGAACGAAUGGGGGAGGAGCGCCACUGUUAAAAGUUGGCAACAUUUUAACGUUCCUGUCCUAGUUUGGCUUGUUUUGAAAAUCGACCAAUGUUCCCAGUCUUCAGAAUGAAAAGAUCGGAUUUCCUCUCUAAACAGAAACUCGGAAAAUCUCAACACUUAUUUUUCCACUAAUGCGCACUUAAAUCUAC